UGAAGGGCUGAAGGGAUAGAGAAAAGAGAGGAAGAUCAUUGUGUUAAUAAGGAAGAAUGAUGGACCCUUUGGAAGAUCAGAAGGACACACUGACAGUGUGGGGAGAGGCAAAACGGGAAAGCCCAGGCUGAAAGCACACGCAAAUGGCCACGACCGAGAGAAUUAAAGGAUCUGAAAAUUGUAGAUGGGCUUAUCCUUGGUGGGAGUAAAUUACCUUGCAUAAGAAUGAUAUGGAUGGGUGGGUGGAUACCUGGUUGGGCAGAAUGGUGAAAGCAAGGUCAGAAAAGUACAGCAUUGUGAUUAACAUGUCCAGUUUAUAAUGGCCAGUCGGAACAAUCAGGCACUGCUAACACAGACAUCCUGGCGUCGGAUACAGAAGGAGAGAAGGGGC